CAAUAGCGUAUAUUAAAGUUGUUGCAGUUAAAAAGCUCGUAGUUGGACUUCUGGGUUGUGAUUGUGGUCCGCCUAACGGUGUGCACUGUGGUUGCGACUCUUCUUCCCGUAGUUUGGGGGUGCACUUAGUUGUGUGCUUUUGGAAUAUGGGACCUUUACUUUGAAAAAAUUAGAGUGUUCAAAGCAGGCCUUCGCUUGAAUACAUUAGCAUGGAAUAAUAGAAUAGGACUUUGGUUCUAUUUUGUUGGUUUCUUAGGACCGGAACGUAAUAGAUUAAUUAAGGGACGAGUUGGGGGUCGGAUUAGUAUUUAAUUUAGUUCAGAGGUGGAAAUUAC
rnacentral:rRNA from 1 species